GAAGCUCAGUUGGAUAGAGCAUGGUGCUGAUAACACCAAAGUUGUAGGUUCGAUCCCUGUCUGGGACA